AGAGUUUGAUCCUGGCUCAGAUUGAACGCUGGCGGCAUGCCUUACACAUGCAAGUCGAACGGUAACAGGGAGCUUGCUCCGCUGACGAGUGGCGAACGGGUGAGUAAUAUAUCGGAACGUACCAUUCAGUGGGGGAUAACGUAGCGAAAGUUACGCUAAUACCGCAUAUUCUGUGAGCAGGAAAGCAGGGGAUCGCGAGACCUUGCGCUGAUUGAGCGGCCGAUAUCAGAUUAGCUUGUUGGUGAGGUAAAAGCUCACCAAGGCGACGAUCUGUAGCGGGUCUGAGAGGAUGAUCCGCCACACUGGAGCUGAGACACGGUCCAGACUCCUACGGGAGGCAGCAGUGGGGAAUUUUGGACAAUGGGGGCAACCCUGAUCCAGCCAUGCCGCGUGAGUGAAGAAGGCCUUCGGGUUGUAAAGCUCUUUCAGCCGGGAAGAAAACGCAUGGGUUAAUACCCUGUGUGGAUGACGGUACCGGAAUAAGAAGCACCGGCUAACUACGUGCCAGCAGCCGCGGUAAUACGUAGGGUGCGAGCGUUAAUCGGAAUUACUGGGCGUAAAGCGUGCGCAGGCGGUUUUGUAAGACAGGCGUGAAAUCCCCGGGCUUAACCUGGGAACUGCGUUUGUGACUGCAAGGCUAGAGUACGGCAGAGGGGGGUGGAAUUCCACGUGUAGCAGUGAAAUGCGUAGAGAUGUGGAGGAACACCAAUGGCGAAGGCAGCCCCCUGGGUCGAUACUGACGCUCAUGCACAAAAGCGUGGGUAGCAAACAGGAUUAGAUACCCUGGUAGUCCACGCCCUAAACGAUGUCAACUAGGUGUUGGGAGGGUAAAACCUUUUAGUACCGGAGCUAACGCGUGAAGUUGACCGCCUGGGGAGUACGGCCGCAAGGUUAAAACUCAAAGGAAUUGACGGGGACCCGCACAAGCGGUGGAUGAUGUGGAUUAAUUCGAUGCAACGCGAAAAACCUUACCUACCCUUGACAUGCCAAGAACUUUCCAGAGAUGGAUUGGUGCCCGAAAGGGAACUUGGACACAGGUGCUGCAUGGCUGUCGUCAGCUCGUGUCGUGAGAUGUUGGGUUAAGUCCCGCAACGAGCGCAACCCUUGUCGUUAAUUGCCAUCAUUUAGUUGGGCACUUUAACGAGACUGCCGGUGACAAACCGGAGGAAGGUGGGGAUGACGUCAAGUCCUCAUGGCCCUUAUGGGUAGGGCUUCACACGUCAUACAAUGGUCGGUACAAAGGGUCGCCAAGCCGCGAGGUGGAGCCAAUCCCAGAAAGCCGAUCGUAGUCCGGAUCGCAGUCUGCAACUCGACUGCGUGAAGUCGG
rnacentral:rRNA from 1 species